CAGUCGCCGCGGUAAUACGAAGGGUGCAAGCGUUACUCGGAAUUACUGGGCGUAAAGCGUGCGUAGGUGGUGGUUUAAGUCCGUUGUGAAAGCCCUGGGCUCAACCUGGGAAUUGCAGUGGAUACUGGGUCACUAGAGUGUGGUAGAGGAUAGUGGAAUUUCCGGUGUAGCAGUGAAAUGCGUAGAGAUCGGAAGGAACAUCUGUGGCGAAGGCGACUAUCUGGGCCAACACUGACACUGAGGCACGAAAGCGUGGGGAGCAAACAGGAUUAGAUACCCGAGUAGUCCCUGUCUCUUAUAU
rnacentral:rRNA from 1 species